rnacentral:rRNA from 1 species
ACUCAAAUGAAUUGACGGGGACCCGCACAAGCGGUGGAUGAUGUGGAUUAAUUCGAUGCAACGCGAAUAACCUUACCUACCCUUGACAUGUACGGAACCCUGCAGAGAUGUGGGGGUGCUUGAAAGAGAGCCGUAACACAGGUGCUGCAUGGCUGUCGUCAGCUCGUGUCGUGAGAUGUUGGGUUAAGUCCCGCAACGAGCGCAACCCUUGUCCCUAGUUGCUACGCAAGGGCACUCUAGGGAGACUGCCGGUGACAAACCGGAGGAAGGUGGGGAUGACGUCAAGUCCUCAUGGCCCUUAUGGGUAGGGCUUCACACGUCAUACAAUGGCCGGUACAGAGGGUUGCCAAAGCGCGAGCUGGAGCCAAUCCCCAUAAAAGCCGGUCGUAGUCCGGAUUGCAGUCUGCAACUCGACUGCAUGAAGUCGGAAUCGCUAGUAAUCGCGGAUCAGCAUGUCGCGGUGAAUACGUUCCCGGGUCUUGCACACACCGCCCGU